GUGUUACAUUAAGUCAGCUAAUAUUUCCAUUCUGUUCUAGCAGCGCGUGCCGUGUUGCUUUAUGCUGAAUAAGCACCUUCGAGCGCUUGAGGAGAGGCAAUCUGUGGCCGUGUGGACAGCGCUGAUCUAUUAUCAGAUCUGCGCACGGGUUCGACAGAGAAAUUUAGCAUCAGGAUGAACAGAAUAUAUAUACCUGUUAUCUAUACCAAGUUCACACUACACGACUUUCCAAGUGGUCAGGUCGCUGUACAGUUCACACUACACAACUGGAUCUCUUGUAAUCGGGAGUCUUUCAAGUCGGUGUGGCUUCACACUACACCGUCUAUCACCAACUGGAAUCGCAGGCGAGCUUCUCUGGUCUCCCAAACUACGUUUUGUCACGAAAACACACGUUAGAAGUGACGAGGGGUUUAAUGAUACCACGUCCAAAAUGCACGUCAACAAGUAGCGAGUGAUCAAAGUUUGUGCGCUGAUGUGCAGCGUAAAAUUAAGGAGAAAAAAAAUGAAUCUGAGUGGAUUUGGCAACGCGACCAGCAUGGAUUGUUCUAUAGUGAGUUGAAGGUUAAUAAAUAUUUUUGCAAUGCAA